rnacentral:rRNA from 1 species
GUAGGUGGCAAGCGUCGUCCGGAAUUAUUGGGCGUAAAGCGCGCGCAGGCGGUUCUUUAAGUCUGAUGUGAAAGCCCACGGCUCAACCGUGGAGGGUCAUUGGAAACUGGAGAACUUGAGUACAGAAGAGGAAAGCGGAAUUCCACGUGUAGCGGUGAAAUGCGUAGAGAUGUGGAGGAACACCAGUGGCGAAGGCGGCUUUCUGGUCUGUAACUGACGCUGAGGCGCGAAAGCGUGGGGAGCAAACAGGAUUAGAUACCCUGGUAGUCCACGCCGUAAACGAUGAGUGCUAAGUGUUAGGGGGGUUUUCCGCCCCCCUUAGUGCUGCAGCUAACGCAUUAAGCACUCCGCCUGGGAGUACGGCCGCAAGGCUG